UACAGAGGUGGCAAGCGUUGUUCGGAAUUACUGGGCGUAAAGGGCGCGUAGGCGGCCUCGUAAGUCCUGUGUGAAAUCCCUCGGCUCAACUGAGGAACUGCACGGGAAACUGCUUGGCUUGAGUUCGGGAGAGGGAAGCGGAAUUCCGGGUGUAGCGGUGAAAUGCGUAGAUAUCCGGAGGAACACCGGUGGCGAAGGCGGCAUCCUGGACCAACACUGACACUGAGGAGCGAAAGCCAGGGGAGCAAACGGG
rnacentral:rRNA from 1 species